rnacentral:misc_RNA from 1 species
AAGUCGUAACAAGGUUUCCGUAGGUGAACCUGCGGAAGGAUCAUUAAUGAGUUGUGAUGGGGUUUGAUGCUGGCAGCCAAAUUUUGGAUGCAUGUGCUUGCCCUGACAAUCAUCUUCCAAACACCUGUGCACAUUUUUGAGGGAGUUUCGAGUUAAUUGCCACUUUUGGUGAUUUUCUCGCGUUCCCUUAAAUUUUAUUAUACGCUGUUAACAAAUGCUGAACGUGCUUUGUGCCGCAAGGCCCUUAAUAUAAUACAACUUUUAACAACGGAUCUCUUGGCUCUC